AUGGCAACUGUAUCCUCGGCAUGCAUUUCCAUGGCUGUACUACUACUUCUCCUACUACUUUCAUUCAUCUCAUGUUCUUCUCCGAGUCCAACCGCCGGCAACGGCAGCGAUGCUGAUCGCACCGCCUUGUUAUCUUUCAAGGUCCAAUUUUAUGACCCCUUUGGCAUCCUUGACAAAAACUGGACCAUGGAGAGUUCUUUCUGCCACUGGGUGGGCGUCACAUGCAGCCGCCGCCGACAGAGGGUCACUCGACUGUCACUGCCAUACAGAUCCCUCCAUGGGCCGAUCACUCCUCUAUUGGGUAACCUCUCUUUCCUUUCUUUCCUAGACAUCACCAGCACCAACCUCACUGGCUCCAUCCCAACUGAUCUUGGCAAUCUACAUCGUCUCAGAUAUCUCCUUCUAGGUGAAAAUAGCCUAUCAGGUGCCAUUCCUCCUAGCCUAGGAAACCUGGCAGGGCUUAAGGUCUUUGAUUUACGGCACAACCAACUCUCGGGCCAGAUACCUCCAGGGUUGUUGCUGCAUAUGAACAACCUUGAGGAGAUUUAUCUACAAAGAAAUUAUUUGAGUGGGCAAAUACCACCUUAUCUGUUCAACAACACUCCUUCCUUGAGGUACCUCAAAUUUGGAAACAAUAGUCUAUCAGGUCCUAUACCAGAUGGUGUUGCCUCCCUGCCCAUACUUGAGAUCUUAGACAUGCAGUACAAUAAGCUUUCCAGCCUAGUGCCAGAAGCUAUGUACAAUAUGUCUAGACUACACGUCAUGGCACUCACUGGCAAUAGGAACCUAACCGGGCCAAUACCAAGCAAUCAAACAUUCAGCCUCCCAAUGUUGCAAUUUAUUUCUCUCGCACAAAACAGGUUUACUGGUCAGUUUCCAAAAGGUAUUGCAUCAUGCCAAUACUUGAGAGAGAUUUAUUUGCAUACCAAUUCUUUUAUGGAUGUUGUGCCAACAUGGCUAGCUAAAUUGACACACCUCGAAAUAGUUUCCUUGGGGGGAAAUGACCUCAUUGGUUCAAUCCCACACGUUCUUAGCAAUCUCAGCAGUCUUACAGUACUAGAGCUCUCUUUUGGCAACUUGAAAGGGAAUAUUCCACCAGAAAUAGGAAAACUCCAAAAACUUUCAUAUUUGCUUCUUAUGGAUAAUCAACUGUCUGGCUCAGUACCGCCAACACUUGGAAAUAUUGUUGCUUUGAAAAAGCUUGUUCUAUCACACAACAAAUUAGAGGGGGGCAUGGGCUUCUUGUCCGCUCUUUCUGGAUGUAGACAACUUGAACGCCUUAUCCUGAACUAUAAUUCUUUCAUAGGUGCCCUUCCAGACCAUGUGGGCAAUCUCUCAACAAAGUUAAUUAGUUUCAUUGCAAAUCAAAAUAAAUUAACAGGCAGGCUUCCAUCAACAAUUUCAAACUUAAGUAGCCUUGAACUGUUAGAUCUUGGAUACAACCAACUCACUGACUUAAUUCCAGAAUCAAUCACUAUGAUGGAAACUCUUGUGUUGCUUGAUAUCUCUAACAAUGAUAUUUUAGGCCCUAUGCCAACAAAAAUGGGUAUGCUUUUGGGUCUAGAACGACUAUUUCUUGAAAGAAACAAAAUAUUUGGCUCCAUACCAGAUAGCAUUGGUAAUCUUAGCAGGUUAGAAUACAUUGACUUGUCCAAUAACAGGUUAAGUCAAACACUACCAGCAAGCUUAUUCCAACUUCAGAAACUUAUCCAAGUAAAUCUUUCUUAUAAUUCAAUUGUUGGUGCUCUACCAAAUGACGUUGCUGGGCCAAGACAAAUCGACCAAAUUGAUAUUUCAUCCAAUUCCUUGAACGGGAGUAUUCCAGAAUCAUUUGGUCAACUUAAUAUGCUAACCUACCUAAUUCUGUCACACAACUCAUUCGAAGGUUCAAUUCCUAGCACACUUGAUAAGCUAACUAGCUUAACCUCAUUAGAUAUCUCCUCCAACAAACUCACUGGUGCCAUUCCCAUGUUCCUUGAAAACCUUGCCGACUUGUCUAUGUUGAACCUCUCCUACAAUAGGCUAGAAGGUCAAAUACCCGAGAGAGGUAUUUUCUCAAACCUCACGACACAAUCUUUCAUUGGGAAUGCUGGGCUUUGUGCUUCUCAACGUCUUGGAUUUCCUCCUUGCCAUAAAAACUCCCACCCUUAUAGUAGUCAUCUUCUCAAAUUUCUACUCCCAGCUAUCCUGGUAACUUGUAGCGCCCUUGCUAUUUUUUUGUAUCUAAUGAUUGAAAAGAAGCACAAGAAUUUCAAAGCUCACGCCGAUGUGGUAUAUGCCACAAGCCAUCAAUUAGUCUCCUACCAUGACCUCGCCCGUGCCACUCGGAAUUUCAGUGAUGAUAACAUGUUAGGGUCUGGAGGAUUUGGAAAAGUAUUCAAGGGCCAACUUAGUAAUGGUUUGGUUGUUGCAAUAAAGGUUCUUGACAUGAAGCUUGACCGUGCCAUCAGAGUCUUUGAGGCUGAGUGUCAUGUGCUCCGCAUGGUGCGGCAUCGUAACCUCAUAAAAAUACUCAACACAUGUUCAAACAUGGACUUUAGAGCAUUGGUUCUUCAGUUCAUGCCCAAUGGCAGCUUGGAGACACUGCUACAUCGUUAUGAUGGCACAAUGUACCUAGGAUUCAUGGAGAGGAUGGAUAUCAUGCUCGAUGUGUCAAUGGCAAUCAAUUAUCUCCACCAUGAGCACUACGAGGUGGUUUUGCAUUGUGAUUUGAAGCCUAGCAAUGUGUUAUUUGACAUGGACUUGACGGCGCAUGUGGCGGACUUUGGCAUUGCAAAGAUGCUAUUAGGUGAUGACAAUUCGAUGAUUGUUGCUAGCAUGCCUGGAACGGUUGGUUACAUGGCACCAGAAUAUGGGUCUAUGGGAAAAGCAUCACGUAAGAGUGAUGUAUUCAGCUAUGGAAUCAUGCUUCUUGAAGUUUUCACUCGAAGGAGACCUAUGGAUUCUAUGUUUGUGGGAGAACUAACCCUUAGAGAGUGGGUUCGUCAGGCGUUUCCUGCAAAUCUUGUCCACGUCGUGGAUAGCCAUCUACUGCAAGGCUCAUCGCCUUCCAUCCGCAACUUGAAUGAAGAUUUUCUUGUAUUGAUAUUCGAGUUGGGUUUGCUCUGCUCUAGCCAUUCGCCUAACAAGAGGUUGACGAUGAGCGAUGUGGUUGCGAUAUUGAAGAAGAUCAAGGUGGAAUACACCAAAAGGAUGUCAGCGAAAGAGAGUGUGGAUUAG
rnacentral:rRNA from 1 species